CCUACGGGAGGCAGCAGUGGGGAAUAUUGCACAAUGGGGGAAACCCUGAUGCAGCGACGCCGCGUGAGGGAAGAAGUUUUUCGGUACGUAAAGUCCUAUUAGCAGGGAAGAAAAUGACGGUAUCUGACUAAUCAGCCCCGGCUAACUCCGUGCCAGCAGCCGCGGUAAUACGUAGGGGGCAAGCGUUAUCCGGAUUUACUGGGCGUAAAGGGGGCGUAGACGGCCGCGCAAGUCUGGAGUGAAAUCCCAUGGCUUAACCAUGGAACUGCUUUUGAAACUAUGCAGCUGGAGUGCGGGAGAGGUAAGCGGAAUUCCUAGUGUAGCGGUAAAAUGCGUAGAUAUUAGGAGGAACACCAAUUGCGAAGGCGACUUACUGGACUGUAACUGACGUUGAGGCUCGAAAGCGUGGGGAGCAAACAGGAUUAGAUACCCGAGUAGUC
rnacentral:rRNA from 1 species